CCCAAGCCAAUUCUAAAGGACUAUGCAUAACCUACAAGCUCAUACAUAGAUAUAUAAACUGGACAUGAUAUGAAUGUUAAUUCGAUAUAUUGUAUAAUUUUCAAAGUCAUAAAAAACAAGAAAUGUGAGCAAAUCCUAGAUAGACUUGAACAUAUGUGUUUUUGUAUAAUUUAGUGUUAAUGUGCCUUUAAAAGCUAGCAAUCC
rnacentral:lncRNA from 1 species